rnacentral:rRNA from 1 species
GACGAACGCUGGCGGCGUGCUUAACACAUGCAAGUCGAACGGAAAGGCCCUGCUUGCAGGGUGCUCGAGUGGCGAACGGGUGAGUAACACGUGGGUGAUCUGCCCCUUACUUUGGGAUAAGCCUGGGAAACUGGGUCUAAUACUGGAUAGGACCAUGCUGUAGGUGGUGUGGUGGAAAGAUUAGUUUCGGUAAGGGAUGAGCUCGCGGCCUAUCAGCUUGUUGGUGGGGUAAUGGCCUACCAAGGCGUCGACGGGUAGCCGGCCUGAGAGGGUGGACGGCCACAUUGGGACUGCGAUACGGCCCAGACUCCUACGGGAGGCAGCAGUGGGGAAUAUCGCACAAUGGGCGCAAGCCUGAUGCAGCGACGCCGCGUGGGGGAUGACGGCCUUCGGGUUGUAAACUCCUUUCAGCCAUGACGAAGCCCUUGUGGUGACGGUAGUGGUAGAAGAAGCACCGGCUAACUACGUG